rnacentral:rRNA from 1 species
UGGGGAAUAUUGGACAAUGGGCGAAAGCCUGAUCCAGCCAUGCCGCGUGUGUGAAGAAGGUCUUCGGAUUGUAAAGCACUUUAAGUUGGGAGGAAGGGCAGUAAGCUAAUACCUUGCUGUUUUGACGUUACCGACAGAAUAAGCACCGGCUAACUCUGUGCCAGCAGCCGCGGUAAUACAGAAGGUGCAAGCGUUAAUCGGAAUUACUGGGCGUAAAGCGCGCGUAGGUGGUUUGUUAAGUUGGAUGUGAAAGCCCCGGGCUCAACCUGGGAACUGCAUCCAAAACUGGCAAGCUAGAGUACGGAAGAGGGUGGUGGAAUUUCCUGUGUAGCGGUGAAAUGCGUAGAUAUAGGAAGGAACACCAGUGGCGAAGGCGACCACCUGGACUGAUACUGACACUGAGGUGCGAAAGCGUGGGGAGCAAACA